rnacentral:rRNA from 1 species
UACGAAGGGGGCUAGCGUUGCUCGGAAUGACUGGGCGUAAAGGGCGCGUAGGCGGUUCGUAUAGUCAGGCGUGAAAUUCCCGGGCUUAACCUGGGGGCUGCGUUUGAUACGUACGGGCUUGAGUUCGGAAGAGGGUCGUGGAAUUCCCAGUGUAGAGGUGAAAUUCGUAGAUAUUGGGAAGAACACCGGUGGCGAAGGCGGCGACCUGGUCCGAUACUGACGCUGAGGCGCGAAAGCGUGGGGAGCAAACGGG